GGGGGGGGCGGGGGGCGGGCCGGGGGCGUGGGGGGCGGGGGGGCGGACGGGAAGCUUGCUUCUCUGGUGUUAGCGGCGGCCGGGGGAGUAACACGUGGAUCACCUCCCUAUAAGACUGGGAUCCCUUCGGGCAACCGGAGCUACUGCCGGAUGAUAUUUUGAACCGCAUGGUUCAAAAGUGAAAUACGGUCUUGCUGUCACUUAUAGAUGGAUCCGCGCUGCAUUAGCUAGUUGGUCAGGUAACGGCUUACCAAGGCAACGAUGCAUCGCCUACCUGAGAGGGUGAUCGGCCACCCUGGAGCUGAGACACGGUCCAGACUCCUACGGGAGGCAGCAGUAGGGAAUCUUCCGCAAUGGGCGAAAGCCUUACGGAGCACCGCCGCGUGAGUGAUGAAGGUCUUCGGAUCGUAAAACUCUGUUAUUAGGGAAGAACAUAUGUGUAAGGAACUGUGCACAUCUUGACGGUACCUAAUCAGAAAGCCACGGCUAACUACGUG
rnacentral:rRNA from 1 species